CUAUAGUUAUCACACAUUUGAUUCCGUCAGGUUUGUAGCUAGUGUCUUGUUGUUCAGUCCCAAAAUAAUAGAUAUAAUCAGGGGUAGAGGGAGAGCAACAAGAAGAGCAUCUUAUAACACAGGAAUAUGGUCCGCUCAUUACAUGUUGUCUGGAGACGAUGAGCAGCAAAUAACUGCAAUUCCUGAUGAAUCCAUUUGUACCAGUUCAUAGUGGAGAAGAGGAAGAAGUGGUUGUCACUCAAAAUGCACCAAGAAGAUAGGUAGCUGCGUGUUGGUUAUCUUAAGAGGCAAUCCAUUUGCACUUGUUAUCUGAACUAGAUGAAUGUGUAAUGGCAUCUUUCAUAUUACUCUUAAAAAUAAUGUACUGGUUAUUUGGAACAA